rnacentral:misc_RNA from 1 species
UCAAACUUGGUCAUUUAGAGGAAGUAAAAGUCGUAACAAGGUUUCCGUAGGUGAACCUGCGGAAGGAUCAUUAGAAAAGGAGGGUUUUUCCUCUUUAACACAUGUGAACAAUGGAUUAGUUAUAUUCUCCAUUCAUAUUAUGUAUGGAUGGAGAAAGUUAUAUAUAAACACGAGAUUUUUUAAAAUACAUAAUAAAUACAAAACACACAUCACAACUUUCAACAAUGGAUCUCUUGGCUCUUGCAUCGAUGAAGAACGCAGC